CACCAUGUGAUCACAAGAAGCAUGCUGUUGGCAUCCUCGAUAAGGUUAAAAAAAUGAACUGACAUGAAUUGAAACCUUGAGCUAAAGAAUAGAAAGGUUGGAGAGCCCCAUAUCACACUUCUUCUCUUGUCCCUAAAGAAGAAUGUUUUCACUUUGGAUGAUUUCACAAUCUGUGGAGAGAUGAAGCUGUAUUUGAAUUUUGAAGGGAUUCGAAAAUUAUGGCAAUACACUAAAUUUGAAGCAAUGUCUGAAGGAAGCUUUGUUCUUCAGGAAAUACCACACCGUAUUGAUCAUGCUACUCUUUAAGUAUGAAAAGUAUACAGGCUUUGUAACAGACUCAACUCAUCAUCUUAUAGUUCAUAACAUUGAAACCAGAGAUACCACUAUGCUUUCUCUUGUCCCUAGACUUUUCAAGAUGUCAUUUGUAUUUUCACCAGAAUUUGUUACCAAUGUUUGUACAAUAUUUUUGAAGUGCUCUACAUUUCCCAACAUUAUUUCAAUGUUGUUAAUAUUUAGAGGUUCUCUGCAUGAAAUAACAGCUGGUCUAAAUAUGGAGGUCAAACAUUUCAGAACAGAUUUAGCAGAAGGAAAGAAGGGAACUACAAACCCGAGGAGAGAUUUUGUCCUUCCUUUCAUAUGAAAAUAUGAAAAAAAUACAUCUAUCAGAAUUUUCACUGUGAGAAUUUAUAUUUCUAUUGUAAUUCAUUAAGAGUUUUAGACUAAUAACUCACUCGUCAAAUAAGAUGAUGAGACUAAAUGAUUUUGAAGUAAAUUUGUUCAAUAUGGUUGUUCUUUGGGUUUUCUUAAUUUUAGAGGGUGAGAAAUCUUUUGGAUAUUAUUAAUUUAAAAUUAGCUGACAAUUGCCAUGCUCAAAACUGAGGCAGAAAGAUUUUCAGAAAGUGUUUUCCUCUUGAGUUGUGUCAUUAAUAGCUUAUUUCUAGGCCACGAAUUGACUAUAAAUGAUAUUUCCAAGUGAUCAAGUCUAUUAUAAAAAGUAACAUUUGUAAGUAUGAGGUACUCAACAGAAAACAAGAUUUUUAAAAGCCAACUUACUUUUACUUCUGAAGACAUUGGGUAUUGGAGCAGUUUUUCUAUCAUUUCUAGCAGACAGGAGAAUGACUUUCAAUGACAUGCAUUUCCCUCAUGUCCAUAGAUUGUAGUUGGAAGUGUAGCUGUCAUUCAGUAUCAUGCAAAGAGCCUUGCAUUUGGGGUUAGAUGACCCCCUCAAAGAGGAAGAUAAUUAUCAAUCCAAAAAUAGCUGCCAGUGAUUUGUUGCUCUAUUAUUUGUGAACAGUCAAGGUGAGAAAGUUAUUUACCACUGCAAGCAAAUUUACUCAUCUUUUCA